rnacentral:rRNA from 1 species
CCUACGGGUGGCAGCAGUAGGGAAUUUUGCGCAAUGGGGGAAACCCUGACGCAGCAACGCCAUGUGUGGGAUGAAGCAUUUCGGUGUGUAAACCACUGUCGGCAGGGAAUAUGUACCUGCAGAGGAAGCCCCGGCUAACUUCGUGCCAGCAGCCGCGGUAAUACGAGGGGGGCAAGUGUUGUUCGGAAUCACUGGGCGUAAAGGGAGCGUAGGCGGGCUCUUAAGUUGGAUGUUUAAAACCGGGGCCCAACCCCGGCGUGGCAUCCAAAACUGGGAGUCUUGAAUGGGACAGAGGCUAGUGGAAUUGGAGGUGUAGCGGUGGAAUGCGUAGAGAUCUCCAAGAACACCCGUUGCGAAGGCGGCUAGCUGGCCACAUUGACGCUGAGGCUCGAAAGCAUGGGGAGCAAACAGGAUUAGAUACCCUUGUAGUC